rnacentral:rRNA from 1 species
UACGUAGGGUGCGAGCGUUGUCCGGAAUUAUUGGGCGUAAAGGGCUCGUAGGCGGUUUGUCGCGUCGGGAGUGAAAUCCACUGGCUUAACUGGUGGCUUGCUUUCGAUACGGGCAGACUGGAGGUAUGCAGGGGAGAACGGAAUUCCUGGUGUAGCGGUGAAAUGCGCAGAUAUCAGGAGGGACACCGGUGGCGAAGGCGGUUCUCUGGGCAUGUCCUGACGCUGAGGAGCGAAAGCGUGGGGAGCGAACAGG